UCAGAUCCAAGGACAAGCAAAUAAAAGCGGCCUGUACACUUUAUCAAGUGCUCUCUUUCUGCAAUCACAAACAAGUCCAACGCCAAACUCACCUGCAGCUCCAACAUCACAUCAGAGCCCGGGACACACCGAAUGAGCUCCAGUAGCGGAAACUGCUUCACUACAAACUGGUAGUAUGUCUGUCAACACUUCUUGGAAAUUAGGUAUGAUUAGGUGAGCGAUUUGUGAAAUUGAAUGGAAUAAGCUUUAGGCUGGCCUGUAGUUUCAGUACAGUAGGAACCUUUUCAUGCUUCUGAAAAAAAAAUCUAGAGUGGCUAUAUUAAAUAUUUUAAUCACUGAUUCCAUGUUUAAAGAGGCAUAUCGGGUGGUCUGACCCUUAUUUAUUUCUCACAGGUGUCUUAAAUGAUUAUUCUCAUGGUUGCAGGUGUUAUAGGUUCAUUAAAACGGUUAGUGUGUUAAGAGGAAAUGGUGCUUUCAAAGGUCUUUUUUCUGAAGCACUCCCAGGUUUUGGGUGAGUGACCCCGUCCCCACGUCAUGCUGGAUCAAUACUUCUCCAAGCUUAUCACAAAACUGUUUGACUAAACCCUCUGUAGGUACAUAUAUGGAGGUUAAAGGAGAGUAGAAUGACCAGUCAUGACAUAGACUGGACUUGUUUCUCAUUUUCUUGCAGACUGGAUCACUGGGAGAGACGAUGUGUGUGUGAGUGUUUUAUAAAGUAAAUUGUGUUUUGUGAAGUGUUUCUUUUUCAGUGCUCUCACUAUUCCUACAGUAUGGAGGGUCAUGAGGAUCAGCCAUCUUUACUGAACAGAGUCUGUGACCAUCCUCCUGAGCUGUGGAGUGUGACAAUGGUGUUUGUAUCCUGUGUUGUCAAACGCCAUUAUCACACUAAAUAGCCACGGUGAGACCUCACAACCACCUCGGCCAAUCAGCACAGAGAAACACAAUAAUGAUGAUGGAUUCUGUUGUGGGAAUGUGAAAUACCCUUGUGUUCAUUUGGCAUCUGCCAAAAAUAGAUGUAAUGGAUCAUGCUUGUGUGUACUGAUCCAGUUACCAGACAGUAUGCAUGUCAUGUGACACACUUUCUUCAUAUUUUGUUCUGUAUUAGUAUCAUAUCAUGACAAUAAAAAAACUAGCAAGUUU